AUGCUCAUUUUGGCAGCAUGUAUGCUAAAACUGGAGUGACACCAAGAAGAUUAGUGCAGUUGCUGCACAAGAAUGACAUGCAGAUUCAUGAAAUAUCUCAUAUUUUU
rnacentral:snRNA from 1 species